GAUGUAAGGAGGAGCUCCGGGGGUAGCAAGCAUGGUUAAGCAGAGGAGGAGUCAGCGGAGCAGUUAAUUCCAUCCCUGACAACAUGUCUGCAAAGGUUCCAUGAGCUUUGCAUAAGGCCAGGAGUUCACCUAGAUGACUUUGACAGAACUUUCUGGUUCCAAGAUUCUGCCUUCAUUCCUCGUCUGUAUUUCAAUUGGUGGCCCUUACAGUCUACUUUAAGAUGCAAAUGGUUUGCAAAAGUUAACUCAAUGGUGGUGUUAAAAAAAAUAGAUAACUAGAAGAGUUAUAGAAUAUAGUGACUACAAACACUGGGCUUCUGAAUCAGUCAGACAAGAGGAGUCCGGUCUCAACUGUGUGUUCAUUUUCUGACCUCAGUAGGACAUGUGGCUAAAACCUUCACUUCAACUAUGAAAUCUUCAGAAAUGGUAUUUAAAGCUGUGGUCUUCUCCAGUUUGCUGCUAAAUAUGAACGAAAGCCUUGAAACACAUCAAGCCCUGUGUACCUUCUCCUUUGACAUUCCUCAUUGAGAAAAGAGGUUUGUGGAAGUGGAUUUCGUGGGACACGAUGACUUCUCAGGUUAUGCUCUUUCAUUAUUAAAAACUGAGGAACAGCCUCUGGUUAAAAUAGAAUUGCAAUAUGUGACAGUAGUAAAAGAAGACUCUCAGGUAAAUUGAGAAGUUAGCUAAAAGCGUGCCUUGCUCUUAAAUUUGCAGUAAGUUCUUCUAAAAAAAGCAAUCUGAAGACCCAAAUUUCACAAUUUUUAGGUAUCUAGUUUUCUGUGAGUUCCCAGAAUUGGUAUCUUUUCCCUGAAUCUUUUGAAAUUCCAACACUGUUGCCCUUCACAUUUUGGAAGCUGGAGCGCAGGAAGCCCAACUCCAAGUCUGGGAUAAGGCCUGCGGAGUAUCACUCUUCUCUUAUCAGAACCACUUUGGAAAACUAACUUCCUUCAAUCGUUCCUGGGUUAAAAGAUAACUGACUCUUUGGAGUGGCUGUUGUGCUAAGGUGCUUCCCUAUUCUUGUUCUGGAGUUUUGUGUAACAUGUAGACAACAUCGAAGGAGCACAAACAGAUGGAAAUGUGCACCAGGCAUUCCAUGCACAACGCCUUUAUAUAAAUGGAAAGAAGAAGUUGCAAAACUGCAUCAAUUUGCGUAAAAGCUGAUCCAUUAAUAACUUUGCCAAUCAGGUUGAGGUCAUGUAUUCAAUUAGUUCCAUUAUAAUGAGGAUUCUUUCUACUGGAAAUCUGAUUCUCACCUAUCCUGAAAAUGAAAUCAGCCAAUCUUGGGAAUUAGUGGUGUCAUGAGCAAUUAGAUUAACAUGUUUGUAUUCUGCAACAAAAACAUUGGGAGAAAGAAUGCUUUGUAAAACAUUACAAUUAUAUUAAAUUUGAUUAAAUUGUAGAACCAAUACCUGAAGUGUUGUUCCUAUCCUUACAAUCCAGUCUAAAAGCUUUACACUGUAGAAGAUAUUUGUAGUUAGAUGAAUAUAUGUUUACUAAUGUCUAGCAGAGAUUUUUUUGUUUGUCUUUCUUCCUUUUUUAUUUUUUGGUAAACAAAAUGUAUUUCUUUCCCUAGGCUCUAGCUGUAAAUUAGCAUUUGAAUUCAAAUGACAGCAUGUUCCUUUUCUUUUCCUGUACAAUUCUUGUCACAAUGUGCUGUUUUUAAUGGCAAAUCAGCUAAUUAAAGACAGUGUGGUGUGGAAAAUGAAUGGAGUUAAUUGAAUUAGUAUUAAAACACUUAGUAAUUAAUCACUUCUUGCAUAGUUAUUAUUCAGAGCUUAAAAUUGUUGGCAAAGCUUAUUCUUAUCCA
rnacentral:lncRNA from 1 species